rnacentral:rRNA from 1 species
GAUGAACGCUAGCUACAGGCUUAACACGUGCAAGUCGAGGGGCAGCAUGACGAUAGCUUGCUAUUGUUGAUGGCGACCGGCGCACGGGUGAGUAACGCGUAUCCAACCUGCCCUUGUCCAUCGGAUAACCCGUCGAAAGGCGGCCUAACACGAUAUGCAGUUCUCCGCAGGCAUCUAACGAGAACGAAAUGCAAAGGAGAAGGAUGGGGAUGCGUCUGAUUAGCUUGUUGGCGGGGUAACGGCCCACCAAGGCGACGAUCAGUAGGGGUUCUGAGAGGAAGGUCCCCCACAUUGGAACUGAGACACGGUCCAAACUCCUACGGGAGGCAGCAGUGAGGAAUAUUGGUCAAUGGGCGAGAGCCUGAACCAGCCAAGUAGCGUGCAGGACGACGGCCCUAUGGGUUGUAAACUGCUUUUAUGCGGGGAUAAAGUGAGCCACGUGUGGCUUAUUGCAGGUACCGCAUGAAUAAGGACCGGCUAAUUCCGUGCCAGCCGCCGCGGUAA